UACGUAGGGGGCAAGCGUUGUCCGGAAUUAUUGGGCGUAAAGCGCGCGCAGGCGGACAGUUUAGUCAGAGGUGAAAGCCCAGGGCUCAACCUUGGAAUUGCCUUUGAUACUGGCUGUCUUGAGUUCGGGAGAGGUGAGUGGAAUGCCGAGUGUAGAGGUGAAAUUCGUAGAUAUUCGGCGGAACACCAGUGGCGAAGGCGACUCACUGGCCCGAUACUGACGCUGAGGCGCGAAAGCGUGGGGAGCAAACAG
rnacentral:rRNA from 1 species